AACGGCCAUACUAUGCUGCAUAUAUCGGUUCUCGUUAGAUCACCGAAGUCAAGCAUCAUUGGGCGCAGCCAGUACUUGGGUGGGUGACCACCUGGGAACACCGCGUGCCGUU
rnacentral:rRNA from 1 species